rnacentral:rRNA from 1 species
GACGUAGGGCGCGAGCGUUGUCCGGAUUUAUUGGGCGUAAAGAGCUCGUAGGCGGCUUGUUGCGUCGACCGUGAAAACCCGGGGCUCAACUUCGGGCUUGCGGUCGAUACGGGCGGGCUAGAGUUCGGUAGGGGAGACUGGAAUUUACGGUGUAGCAGUGAAAUGCGUAGAGAUCGUAAGGAAGACCAGUGGCGAAGGCGAGUCUCUGGACAGUUACUGACGCUGAGGCACGAAGGCCAGGGGAGCAAACGGG